rnacentral:lncRNA from 1 species
AUGUUUGAUUCGAUAACUGGGGGUUUCGUCGCUUUCUGUGGCUCGGGAGUGUUUUUCUACGAAUUUUACGUUUCAUGUAAUGACUUUAAAACAUCGCCAGCUUUUUUUUAUUAUUCUUUUUUUUUUUUUUUACAAACAGAUGGGCCUUUGGCCUGGCUCUUAGGCACGUUGGACAGAGUGUCCAGAAUGCGCUUAGACGCUCUGCACCGUGUUCCACAUACCUCCACCCUGUCCAUGGCUCUUGAACCUUUGUUAGACCAAAGUGAAAAAGGAAAUGUGGGGGAAAGUAAACAACUUGUGUCUUUUUUUUCUCUGUACUCUUUAAACAGGCUUUCUUCUGUGGUCAUUAUUUGGGCAAAAUUACUGCGGCGAGCGGACAAGGACAGAGGGUGGGAGGAGGGAGGAGAAGGAGGGUUACCCAAAAAGAGUGGGGGUAAAGAACCUGAUUGCUUUAAUCUCAGUGCUCGCGGCGCACCCUUUUCAUAAAGCUCUUUGGCCGUGUGAUUCAGACCCAGGCCCCAGUGUUCUGCGCCCCGCUAUUGUUCUCACAUGAAAAUCAAUUCCCUUGAAGACCCUCCUUAAUCCCGUUUUUGGCGUCAACAAUGGCCACUUGUGCACGGCCCUGAUAGACUAAGAGCUGGGAUGAUGCGGCUGUCUGCUCUGAUUCCAGCCCAUUCAGGUAAUGGCGGCCUGCGUCACUUUGUAGUGCCAAGUGCAGGACUCGACAGGAAGACGUUUGCGAUCAUAAUUUCCUGCAGAGCAGAGGCCCAGGCACCCUACACACCCACAAGACUUUUAAUUAGGGCAGACAACCACAGAGAUUAGAGAUCAGCCUGUAACAAUGACUGUCCCUUUGAACGGGCCUCAGCCUCUGUCCCCACUGAGCCCAUAUGGAGCACAUAGUGCUAUGAUCACGCUAAUAACGAUCACCUCAGCAAUAGCACACAGCAGUGGUCUCCACACUGGAGCGCAUGUUCUGCAGAUCGUGCUGUCCAGCAACUCGCGUGCAUCUGCAGGAUUCUUUGAAUGUACAGUAAAUGCAAGAUACGAGAAUAGUAAGGUUGCUGCCAG